CCCACCAGGAUAUCUGCCAGGGCCAGGUUGAGCACGAAGCACCAGCUCUGACUGCCCUUCCUGCGCAUCAGCUGAAAGAGAGCAGCCACCACCAGUAGGUUGGUGGAGAUGAUGAGGAGAGAAGCCACACUCAGGACCCAUCCCAUCAUUUCUGGUGUCAUGAAAGUGUAUACAACAGGGGUUAGUAUGAGUCUCACACCUGGCAUCAUGGCAGUGAGGUUGGCACCCGACUCUCCCAUCCAGCCUGUCUUAUUGUAAGCUGCCAUUGAGUCCUUUACAAGAUCUAAGUAUUGUAUAUCUGAGAGAUUCCCCCCCAAAACAAAUAAAUUAUAUCCACCAACAUCCACUCCUUCUGUGGUAUAUUGGUAUCCAAAUACCAAUUUGUUCCUCUUUGAACUAUACUUAAUGUCUUUCUCUGUCAAACUCCUUUUAUAACAGAAAGAAAUUCCACAACGAUAACCUGAGCUAUUAAGUAAAAAGCUCUUUAGGAAAAAAUGAAGAAUGUUCAAUGGGUACUCAUCCACUCCCGAUGUGCCUUUGCUCCUCAGAGGGCAAAGUAUCUCCCCUCCUCUCUCGUCUGUAGCUGUGGUUCCUCUGCAUCCGACCCUUGUCCAGCUUGCUCUCUGGUUAUCAUCCCAGUCCCCUCAGAGAGUCCCUGGUGCAGACAUCCGGGAUGACUGGGCCAUUUUCCACAAGGGUUCACCACGACCACUGAAUCUGGGUUAAUGACAGCAGUCUGCAGUACAAACAUCAACAUUACACUACACUAAGAUAGAUCUGCUUUUGAUACCAUUUGUAUCUUUAUCAUAAAGUCAUUAGUGAUUUUAUUUUUGCCCAUCCAUUGAUGUCAAUAAGUAGAGCAGUAAGGAAAGAGAGGAAGAGUUUUCUGUGGCAUGUCUCUUGGGAAGACCCAUCUGCUUUGGGAAGACCCAUCUGGCAGUUGUCUGUAGACUAAUAUGUGGGUCCUUUAAAAAACACACAGAAUAAAAAAAAAAAAACAAAUCAAGGCACAAAAGAAGAAAAAAAACAUCUACUCCCACUUACAGUACUAUAAUCAAUAAAGACUAUCUGCUGUCUUGGCUCCUCUAGUGUCUAAAAUGAGUUUCAGCAAAAAGGAGGUAUAGAAGGAAUUUUCAUCUUGAGAAGCCUCUUCAUCUUGACACACAACUCACAGUGCUGUACAGAAUAUGCUGUGACUAACCACUGUAUCUGUGUCUCAUCAGUGGCUCAUCAUGGCUAAGUGUUUUAUGUAUGUAUUUAUACAGCUCUAAACAAACUGAGAGGCAAAAUACACAAUAGGGAGAAAGAAAGAGAGAGAAAGUGUAUAUUUGCCAGACAGGAUGACGCGAAUCUCCCUACAUGUACAGUAUACUGUAUGUUAUCAGUCAACUACUUCUGUUUUACGUAUGGGAAGCAAUGCUUUGGGAGACAAAUCUACCCUGCAUAAAUUACUACCCAACUUCCUCAUAAGUGUAUGCAUUUACUCUCUCUCUCUCUCUCUCUGUGUGACUAUUUCUGAACUUCCUGCUGCUCGUUUUAACCCUCAGCAACAACCAUGUCAGUCCAAACAAUAUCACCAGGGUCUCAUCAAAUACAGAUUUUGACAUUAUCGAUCAUAGUCUGCUGCUGGAAAAAACAUAUGUGUGCCUGUAGAACCUGCCUUGUUAAGAAGGCAGUGCAUCACUUUAUUAUGGACAAACUUCUCCCCAUUUUAGCUACUACUGCAUCAAUAUGUUUUGACCAUGACAGUUUUACCUAUAUUUAACUAGGCAAGUCAGUUAAGAACAAAUUCUUACUUUCAAUGACGGCCUAGGAACAGUGGGUUAACUGCCUUGUUCAGGGGCAGAACGACAGAUUUGUACCUUGUCAGCUUGGGGAUUUGAACUUGCAACCUUUACCGUUACUAGUUCACCGCUCUAACCACUAGGCUAUGCUGCCGCCCCAAUCUAGGGUUACUCCAAAAAAAGACUAAAGAAAAUUGCAAUUGGCUCAGAACAGGGCAGCAAGCCUGGCCCUUGGAUGUACAAAGAGAGCUAAUAUUAAUAAUAUGCAUGUUAAUCUGUCCUGGCUCAAAGUGGAGGAGAGAUUGACUUCAUCACUACUUGUAUUUAUGAGAGGUAUUGACAUGUUGAAUGCACCGAGCUGUCUGUCUAAACUACUGGCACACAGCUGGGACACCCAUACAUACCCCACAAGACAUGCCACAAGAGGUCUCUUCACAGUCCCCAAGUACAGAACAGACUACGGGAGGCACACAGUACUACAUAGAGCCAUGACAACAUGGAACUCUAUUCCACAUCAAGUAACUGAUGCAAGCAGUACAAUUUGAUUUAAAAAAACAGAUUAAAAAAACACCUUAUGGAACAGAGGGGACUGUGAAGCAACACAAACAUAGGCACAGACACCCACACACACAAUAACAUACGCACUAUGCACACACAUACACAUGGAUUUAGUACUGUCGACAUGUGGUAGUGGUGGAGUAUGGACCUGAGGGCUCACAGUGUGUUGUGAAAUCUAUGAAUGUAUUGUAAUGUUUUUAAAAUUGUACAAACUGCCUUAAUUUUGCUGGACCCCAGGAAGAGUAGGUGCUUCCUCGGCAGCAGCUAAGGGGGAUCCAUAAUAAAUACAAAAAUACAAAUACACAGUGAUCUUUUCAUGUAGAGUAAAGAUCCCCUUUUGAUCACAAAGGGGGAAAAACACAAUAAUCUCUGGCUCCCACAGACAUACAAUGUGGGAAUGUUAUUCAUCCCUACUAGACCUUUCAGUGCCAUUCAAAACUUAUGUUGGUCAGCAGUAAUUGUGCCCACUGCCCCUGUACCAGUAGUCAUUCUCACCCUAUUUACGCUUAGCACUGCCCACUCCUCACCUACGGGUUGCCUUGGCCAGAAACAUCUUGAAGGUGUUAUUAUUCUUUGAAUAGACUACCUCCUGUCUUGGGCUUGACCGCUGAAGCUGACCUGAGAUUCCUCUGUACUGAAGAUGACUUUAAAGAGACGACUGCUGUCCAUUUUGUUGUGUUGUGUCUACUGUGUCGCUUCGCUCUUCUGCUUGAACCCCAACCGCAACAACUGUGGCUCCAUCAGCGCUCGGAAUCUCAUGACAGUUGCCCAGCAGCUGUACCAACGAGUCAUGAGGCGCACCACUCUCUGAUCCUAUGGAGCCGGAGUUGAGUCCCUCAACACUAAUCAUCACCAGGACUGAGACACUCUCCUGCCUUACCCUGUCCAUACAAUGGAGAUGACCUGCAGAGCACCUGCCAUCGACAGAGCAAGAGGACGAAAAGCUCUCAUUGCAGUUCACCGUAAUAAAGCAGGAGAUAGUUUUUAAAAAUGUCAGUGUUUUAUUGAUGCAAAUAGAUUUUGUUGAGAUCCUAGUGGGCCUUAACUGCAUAAGCGUUGUGUUAGUGCCCCAAUUUCCCUGCAUUAUAAUGUAAGUGCUGGAAAAGCCGUUUGCAGGAUAAUUCACAGAUGUCAUUCAUUUCAUGCCCUCUUGUGGAAAACUGAUCAGUUAUUUCUGCAUGAUAAAAAAAUUAAUGCUUUCAAUGAGCUUCAAUGCUAUCCCUGGACAUGGAAAAUAUUCCCUGCUGGAAUUGAUGUGAUUGAGUUUAGUUAAAUCUACUACAUUAAUGCAUAUAGUGCAGUAUGUCUUCAUAGAAUAAUACGAAAAAAUGUUCCUUGUGCAAAUUAUGGGAAGAUAGGCUGUUUAAUAAAUUUGUACCACUUGAUUAGCUAAAUGUUAAAACAGUUGAGUCUCUUGUAAUUAAUGCUGUAUCAAAACUGAUAUAAUAAACUUUACAUUUGUUUUUCAA